GGGAACACAGCGGGGAAACAGCGGGGAAAUAACGGGAAACAGCGGGGGAAAUAACGGGAAACAGCGGGGAAACAGCGGGGAAAUAACGGGAAACAAUGGGGGAACAAUGGGGAAAUAGCAGGGAAACACCAGGAAACAGAGGGGAAAUACCGGGAAACAAUGGGGGAACAAUGGGGAAAUAGCAGGAAACAGCAGGGAAACAAUGGGGAAACAGCAGGGGAAAUACCGGGGAAACACCGGGAAACAGCGGGGAAACAAUGGGGAAACAAUGAGGAAAUACUGGGAAACACCAGGGAAACAAUGGGGAAACAACAAGGAAAUACUGGGAAACAAUGGGGAAAUACCAGGAAACAGCGGGGAAACACUGGGGGAACAGCAGGGAAACAAUGAGGAAAUAAUGGGAAACAUCAGGGAAACAAUGAGGAAAUACCAGGAAACAAUGGGGAAACAAUGGGGAAAUACCGGGAAACACCAGGGGAAAACAAUGAGGAAAUAUCGGGAAACACCAGGGAAACAAUGGGGAAAUAACAGGAAACAAUGAGGAAAUACCAGGAAAAACCAGGGAAACAAUGGGCAAAUACCAGGAAACAGUGGGAGAAACAAUGGGGAAAUACCGGGAAAUAAUGAGGAAAUACUGGGAAAAACCAGGGAAACAAUGAGGAAAUACCAGGAAACAGUGGGGGAAACAAUGGGGAAAUAACGGGAAACACCAGGGGAAAACAAUGGGGAAAUACUGGGAAACAACGGGGAAACUGAGGAAAUACUGGGAAAUAAUGAGGAAAUACCGGGAAACACCAGGGAAACAAUGGGAAACAAUGAGGAAAUACCAGGAAACAGUGGGGGAAACAAUGGGAAAAUAACGAGAAACACCAGGGGAAAACAAUGAGGAAAUACCGGGAAACACCGGGUCUCAGCUGCAGGAUCCCACAUCACACAGGGAUUCUGGGAAUGGCCGGGUUUUGAUCCCAUUCCCAGAGAGUCUCAGCUGCAGGAUGCCACAUGGCACAGGGAUUCUGGGAAUGGCCGGGUUUUGAUCCCAUUCCCAGAGAGUCUCAGCUGCAGGAUGCCACAUGGCACAGGGAUUCUGGGAAUGGCCGGGUUUUGAUCCCAUUCCCAGAGGGUCUCAAGUGUGGGAUCCCACAUGGCACAGGGAUACCAGGAAAGGGGGAUUUUGCCCUGAUCCCAUUCCCAGAGGUUAUGCAGUUGAGGGAUCCCACAGGGAUACCAGGAAAGAGAGAUUUUGCCCUGCUCCCAUUCCCAGAGGGCCUCAGGUGCAGGAUCCACAAUGGCCCAGGGAUCCCAGGAAUGGCCGGGUUCUGACCCCAUUCCCAGAGAGUCUCAGCUGCAGGAUCCCACAUCACACAGGGAUUCUGGGAAUGGCCGGGUUUUGAUCCCAUUCCCAGAGUGAGAUCCCGCAUGGCCCGGGGGAUCCCAGAUUCUGACCCCAUUCCCAGGGAGUCUCAAGUGCAGGAUGCCACAUCACACAGGGAUUCUGGGAAUGGCCGGGUUUUGAUCCCAUUCCCAGAGGGUCUCAGGUGCAGGAUCCCACAUGGCACAGGGAUACCAGGAAAGAGGGAUUUUGCCCUGAUCCCAUUCCCAGAGAGUCUCCAGGUGAGGCAUCCCAGGAACAGCUGAGUUUUGAUCCCAUUCCCAGAGUGGGAUCCUGCAUGGCUUGGGGGAUCCCAGGUUUUGCCCCCAUUCCCGGAGAGUCUCAAGUGCAGGAUCCCACAUGGCAUGGGAUGGGAUCCCACAUGGCAUGGCAUGGGAUCCCAGGUUCUGACCCCAUUCCCAGAAGGUCUCAGGUGUGAGAUCCCAGGAAUGGCCAGGUUUUGAUCCCAUUCCCAGAGUGGGAUCCCACAUGGCACAGGGAUACCAGGAAAGAGGGAUUUUGCCCUGAUCCCAUUCCCAGAAGGUCUCAGGUGUGAGAUCCCGGGAAUGGCCUGGUUUUGAUCCCGUUCCCAGAGUGGGAUCUCACAUGGCCCGGGGGAUCCCAGGUUUUGACCCCAUUCCCGGAGAGUCUCAAGUGUAGGAUCCCACAAUGGCCCAGGGAUCCCGGUAAUGGCCAGGUUCUGACCCCAUUCCCAGAGAGUCUCAGGUGCAGGAUCCCACACGGCACAGGGAUCCCAGGAAUGGCCUGGUUUUGAUCCCAUUCCCAGAGUGGGAUCCCUCAUGGCCCGGGGGAUCCCAGGUUUUGACCCCAUUCCCAGAAGGUCUCAGGUGUGAGAUCCCAGGCAAUGGCCUGGUUUUGAUCCCAUUCCCAGAGUGGGAUCCCACAUGGCCAGGGGAUCCCAGGUUUCGAUCCCAUUCCCAGAAGGUCUCAGGUGUGAGACCCCAGGAAUGGCCUGGUUUUGAUCCCGUUCCCAGAGUGGGAUCCCGCAUAGCCCGGGGGAUCCCAGGUUUUGCCCCCAUUCCCAAAGAGUCUCAAGUGCAGGAUCCCACAUGGCCAGGGGAUCCCAGGUUUCGAUCCCAUUCCCAGAAGGUCUCAGGUGUGAGAUCCCAGGAAUGGCCUGGUUUUGACCCCAUUCCCAGAAGGGCUCAGGUGUGAGAUCCUGGGAAUGGCCAGGUUUUGAUCACAUUCCCAGAAGGUCUCGGGUGUGAGAUCCCGGGAAUGGCCAGGUUUUGACCCCAUUCCCAGAAGGUCUCAGGUGUGAGAUCCUGGGUAUGGCCAGGUUUUGAUCCCAUUCCCAGAGUGGGAUCCCGCAUGGCCAGGGGGAUCCCAGGUUUUGCCCCCAUUCCCAAAGAGUCUCAAGUGCAGGAUCCCUCAUGGCCCGGGGGAUCCCAGGUCCUGACCCCAUUCCCAUUCCCAU